UUUACAUUUAUCCACAUUAAAUUUCAUUGGCAUUUUGUUGCCCAAUCUUGUUUUUGUGAGUCUUUUUGAAGUUCGUCACAGUCUGCUUCGGUCUUAACUAUCUUGAGCAGUUUAGUAUCAUCUGCAACUUUGCCACCUCACUGUUUACCCCUUUCUCAGAUCAUUUAUGAAUAGUUGAAUAGGAUUGGUCCAAGACUGACUUGGGAAGACACUAGUUACUCCUCUCCUUUCUGAGAAUUUACCAUUAAUUCCUACCUUUGUUCCCUGUCUUUUAACCAGUUCACAAUACAUGAAAAGAU